GAUGAACGCUGGCGGCGUGCCUAACACAUGCAAGUCGAGCGGCAGCGAGGGGUGCUUGCACCCUGUCGGCGAGCGGCGGACGGCUGAGUAACGCGUGGGAACGUGCCCCAAAGUGAGGAAUAACUGCCCGAAAGGGUAGCUAAUACCGCAUAUUAUCUUCGGAUCAAAGGAUUUAUCCGCUUUGGGAGCGGCUCGCGUCGGAUUAGGUAGUUGGUGAGGUAAUGGCUCACCAAGCCGACGAUCCGUAGCUGGUCUGAGAGGAUGACCAGCCAGACUGGAACUGAGACACGGUCCAGACUCCUACGGGAGGCAGCAGUGAGGAAUCUUCCACAAUGGGCGAAAGCCUGAUGGAGCAACGCCGCGUGCAGGACGAAGGCCUUCGGGUUGUAAACUGCUUUUAUAAGUGAGGAAUAUGACGGUAACUUAUGAAUAAGGAUCGGCUAACAACGUG
rnacentral:rRNA from 1 species